GUCAUUUUACCGCUCAAAAUUUUGAGUCCGAGUGGGUUUUCGAGUCAAAAUAUUCAGGGAUUUUUGCAGUGUCAUAAUAACAGAAAUGUUCGGGUUGGAAGCUUGGAUAACAGCGUCAGUCAAUUAUAUUGCACGUAUAGUCCAGGGCGCGAAAUAACGGACGGUCAACGGAUAAUGUCCGGCCAGAAUGAGAAGUUGUCCGCGGGUCAACUUCUUACCUUGUCGGUCAUUUUUGACCGGUCACUUUCGAUAAAACAACAAACUAAUCUUCACUUGAAUUAAUAAUCAAAAUAAAGUUGUCAAGUAUUAUAAUUAAGAACCAUAACAUGUUGUCGAGUGUUUUGUGGGAAAAG
rnacentral:lncRNA from 1 species